GGUGUGGAUAGGGGAGAAAUUCCAAUCGAACCCGGAGAUAGCUGGUUCUCCUCGAAAUAGCUUUAGGGCUAGCCUCGAUACAGAUUUGCGGAGGUAGAGCACUGAAUUUCCUAGGGGGCGUCAAAGCCUACCGAAGAAUAUCAAACUCCGAAUGCCGCGUAAUCGAUUAUCGGGAGUCAGACUGCACGAGAUAAGUUGGGCGGUCAAAAGGGAAAGAGCCCAGACCUUCAGUUAAGGUCCCCAAGUGCGCGUUAAGUGGAAAAGGAUGUGGGAUUUCGAAGACAACCAGGAUGUUGGCUCAGAAGCAGCCAUCCAUUCAAAGAGUGCGUAAUAGCUCACUGGUCGAGAGGUCCUGCGCCGAAAAUGUCCGGGGCUGAAACGCGCCACCGAAACUAAGGAACCGAAAGGUUGGUAGAGGAGCAUUGCAUGCGGGAAGAAGCAGUACCGUAAGGAGCUGUGGACUGCAUGGAAGAGAGAAUGCCGGAAUGAGUAGCGAGAAUAAGGUGAGAAUCCUUAUGGCCGAAUAUCCAAGGUUUCCAGAGUAAAGCUGAUCUGCUCUGGGUAAGUCGGGGCCUAAGGCGAGGACGAGAGUCGUAGCCGAUGGACAACAGGUGGAGAUUCCUGUACUGCGGUAUGACAGAACUGUGGGGACACGUAAGGAAAGCGGAAGCCGGGAAUGGAAAGCCCGGUGCAAGCGGGGUACCAGCCACUUUGGCAAAUCCGGGUGGCAAUGGGAAGCCGUGAUGCGGAGCGAAAUAAAGUAGCGAAGUCCGUGAGCCAUGCGUCAAGAAAAGCCGCUAUUGUUUAUACCGUACCCGUACCGUAAACCGACACAGGUGGAUGAGGAGAGAAUCCUAAGGCCGGCGGAAGAAGCAUUGUCAAGGAACUCGGCAAAAUGACCCCGUAACUUCGGGAGAAGGGGUGCCUGCGAGAGCAGGCCGCAGAGAAUAGGCUCAAGCAACUGUUUAGCAAAAACACAGGUCUAUGCGAAACCGAAAGGUGAGGUAUAUGGGCUGACGCCUGCCCGGUGCUGGAAGGUUAAGAGGAGAGGUUAGCGCAAGCGAAGCUUUGAAUUUAAGCCCCAGUAAACGGCGGCCGUAACUAUAACGGUCCUAAGGUAGCGAAAUUCCUUGUCGGGUAAGUUCCGACCCGCACGAAAGGCGUAAUGAUUUGAGCGCUGUCUCGACAAUGCAUCCGGUGAAAUUGAAGUACCAGUGAAGAUGCUGGUUACCCGCGCCAGGACGGAAAGACCCCAUGGAGCUUUACUCCAGUUUGGUACUGGGAUUCGGUACUGCACGUACAGGAUAGGUGGGAGACUUUGAAACUUGAACGCCAGUUUGAGUGGAGUCGCUGUUGGGAUACCACCCCUGCAGUAUUGGAUUUCUAACCAGUCACCGUGAUCCGGUGAUGGGACAAUGCCAGGCGGGGAGUUUGACUGGGGCGGUCGCCUCCGAAAGGGUAUCGGAGGCGCUCAAAGGUUCCCUCAGAAUGGUCGGAAACCAUUCGAAGAGUGCAAAGGCAGAAGGGAGCUUGACUGCGACACCGACGGGUGGAGCAGGUACGAAAGUAGGACUUAGUGAUCCGGUGGUAUUAAGUGGGAAUGCCAUCGCUCAACGGAUAAAAGCUACCCUGGGGAUAACAGGCUUAUCACUCCCAAGAGUUCACAUCGACGGAGUGGUUUGGCACCUCGAUGUCGGCUCAUCGCAUCCUGGGGCUGUAGUAGGUCCCAAGGGUUGGGCUGUUCGCCCAUUAAAGCGGUACGCGAGCUGGGUUCAGAACGUCGUGAGACAGUUCGGUCCCUAUCCGGCGUGGGCGUAGGAUAUUUGAGAGGAGCUGACCUUAGUACGAGAGGACCGGGUUGGACUGACCUCUGGUGCACCGGUUGUCAUGCCAAUGGCACAGCCGGGUAGCCAAGUCGGGAAGGGAUAAACGCUGAAGGCAUCUAAGCGUGAAGCCCCCCUCAAGAUGAGAUAUCCCCCGCAUAAGCGGUAAGACCCCUUGAAGACGACGAGGUAGAUAGGGCAGAGGUGGAAGUGCAGUAAUGUAUGGAGCUGACUGCUACUAAUAGGUCGAAGGCUUAACCAA
rnacentral:rRNA from 1 species